AGCAUUGUGUACAAAAUCAAGGCUGCUUUUUUCUUAUUAUGUAUUUUUUCUAUUUUCAGGUACUGAGGUGACCGAGGCUAUGAGGGCACUACCUCCUGGUAGUGAUGAGGUCGUUGCUUUGGCUGUGACGGAGGAGCUGUCUACUGAGGUGACUCCCUUCGCUAGCCAGGACCCCGUCCGUCCUGUUGUAGAUGUUGCGGUAAUCCCAGAGGAUACGCCCGCCGCUGACGUCGAAGGCUGCAAGAAAGAGCAUCAUAAUGCAGUUAACUGAAUUCUGUUAUGAAGCAGGAAAGGGACAUCAAAGAACAGUGGACAAGAUUUUAUUAUGAAGCAAAAAAAGGGACAUCAGAGUGCAGUGGACGAGAUUUUUUUAAGAAGGAAGAAAGGAAUAUUAAAAUGCAGUGGACUGGAUUUAAUUAUGAAUUAAGAAAAGAAACAUCAAAGUGCAGUAAAUGAAAUUUUAUUAUGAAAUCCAAGGAAGGGACAUCAAAGUGCAAUGGACUGGAGACUACUGGGGAGAAGAUGUUGCUUCAAAAUAUUGGCCGAGUUGCUUUUUGCAGUAGAGGAAUAUCAAAGUGCAAUCAACUGGAUUUAACAUAAAGCAAGGAAGGAUUAUCAAAGUGUUAUGAAUUAAACUGUUUCCGGACAGGAAUAAACAACAUCAAAUUCUAAUUGACUGGAUUUUCUUGGGAAGGAUAGAAAGAACAUGAGGAAGGAACAUAAAAGUGCAAUUGAUUCAGUUUUAUUAUGGAGAAAGGAAGAAACGUCAAAGUGCAAUCGACUUGGAUUUUAUUUAAGUGCAGUGGACAGACUGGAUUUUCUCAGAGUGAAGAGAGGAUAUCUUGAUGUUAAUGUGACCCAUAAAAGUGACUAUAUUCAUUUGUAGUGUUAAAAGUGAAAAAAUAACAUAAAAAUGUUAAUCAUUGGAAUUGAUACUUUUUGUGGGGGUGGGAAUCUCUGUCCUGUGUAUACCAUUUCUUCCCAUUCAUCCUAUCUUAUUUCAUCCUGACCCUGCCCAUCCCAUCCCUGAUUGGUUACCCAGAUAUGAUUGUACAUAUAAUAUAUAAUAAAGCAUAUAUUUGAAUUAAAAUAUGAAUGUAGAGCAUGGCCACGAAAUAAACAGAAAAGAUGUGUAUAAAUCAAUUUAAUAUGAAAUAUGUUCGUGUGAAAUCAUGUCUUAUUCAUGCAAUUGACACUUUCUAUAUUCACACUAUAUGAAGUGGUAAACGUACACUUCUUUAUAAGCAAAUGUAUGUUUGUGAUAGAAAAGGUCGAAAACUUGAAUUUUUCGAGACAUUCAUAAUAUUAUUAUGGAUAGUCUAUUAUGUGAAGUGGAAUAAUUAUUAAAUCUGGAACCACGCUUGUACAUUUUUUUCGGAAGUUACACUCUCGCGAUAUUUUGAAAAGAAUUUUUUAAAGGUAAUUAUGUUUUUCUCUUUCUUACAUAUUUGCUGAAUUACAAGAGUAAUUUAUAUUUCUUGUUGCCAUGCUUAUUUACAGUACUUAUACCAAUUCAUUUUCAUUCAGUUUGAGCUGCAAGGUGAAGCAGGAAAAUGGUGUCAAGUUUGAAGGCAAGCCAAAGAUGCAGUCCUGGAUUUUCCUUGGAAAAGUAUGAAGAAUGUCUGUGAAGAAAGUGACAUUGCAGUGUUUAAAGAGAAGAAAGAACAAAAAAGUUAAAGACAGCAAAAGAAGACCAUCGAACUUAAAUAGAUUAUAUCACUUUGUAUGAAAGAGCAUUAUUAUGCAGUGAACUGGAAUUUAUUUUGAAGCAAAAAAGGGACAUCAAAGUGCAGUGGACAGGAUUUUAUUAUGAAUCAAGAAAUGAAUAUUAAAGUGAAGAGGACUGGAUUGAAUUAUGACUCAAGAAAGGAACAUCAGUACAGUGAAUGGAAUUUUAUUAUGAAGAAAGGAAGAGACAUCAAAGUGCAGUGGACUGGAGACUACUUGGGAGAAGAUGUUGCUUCAGUAUAUUGGCAAAGUUGCUUUUUGCUACAGGUGCAAAGCCCUGACAGAUUCCUUUACUAUUGAUUAAGACAUGCUAACGUUGCCUUCGAGGACAAUCCGGUGUCUAUAUGUCCGCUAGAUUGUGGCGUUUUUUGGAGCGACUGGUCUGCAUCAUUGUACCGGCAAUGUUAAGAUGAUGGUUGUUCCUCUGCGUUUUGAGAGAUGGAAUCAGGGAUUGUGAGGAUUUGCAUUUCUUCCAUAUCAACAGACUGCCAAUGACAACUGACUUUAUGUCCCAUUCAUAUGUACAGUCAGCGAUUGAUUUGACUUUAUUAUGAAGCAGUAGAGGAAUAUCAAAGUGCAAUUAACUGGAUUUAACAUAAAGCAAGGAAGGAUUAUCAAAGUGUUAUGAAUUAAAUUGUUUCAGGACAGGAAGAAACAGCAUUCAAUUCUAAUUGACUGGAUUUUCUCAGGAAGAAAAGAAAGAACAUGAGGAAGGAACAUAAAAAUGCAGUUAAUUCAAUUUUAUUGUGGAGCAAGGAAGAAACAUCAAAGUGCAAUCGACUUGGAUUUUAUUUAAGUGCAGUGGACAGACUGGAUUUUCUCAGAGUGAAGAGAGGAUAUCUUAAUGUUAAUGUGACCUAUAAAAGUGACUGUAUUCAUUUGUAGUGUUAAAAGUGAAAAACUAACAUAAAAAUGUUAAUCAUUGGAAUUUAUACCUUUUGUGGGGUUGGGAAUCUCUGUUGUGUGUAUACCAUUUCUUCCCAUUCAUCCUAUCUUAUUUCAUCCUGACCAUGCCCAUCCCAUCCCUGAUUGGUUACACAGAUAUGAUUGUACAUAAAAUAUAUAAUAAAGCAUAUAUUUGAAUUAAAAUAUAAAUGUAGAGCAUGGCCACGAAAUAAACAGAAAAGAUGUGUAUAAAUCAAUUUAAUAUGAAAUAUGUUCAUGUGAAAUCAUGUCUUAUUCAGGCAAUUGACACUUUCUAUAUUCAGACUAUAUGAAGUGGUAAAAGUACACUUCUUUAUAAGCAAAUGUAUGUAUAUAAUAAAAAAGGUCGAAAACUUGAAUUUUUCGAGACAUUCAUAAUAUUAUUAUUAUGGAUAGAGUCUACUAUGUGAAGUGGAAUAAUUAUUAAAUCUGGAACCACGCUUGUACAGUUUUUUUAGGAAGUUACACUCUCGCGAUAUUUUGGAAAGAAUAUUUUAAAGGUAAUUAUGUUUUUCUCUUUCUUACAUAUUUGCUGAAUUACAAGAGUAAUUUAUAUUUCUUGUUGCCAUGCUUAUUUACAGUACUUAUACCAGUCCAUUUUCAUUCAGUUUGAGCUGCAAGGUGAAGCAGGAAAAUGGUGUCAACUUUGAAGGCAAGCCGAAGAUGCAGUCCUGGAUUUUCCUUGGAAAAGUAUGAAGAAUAUCUGUGAAAAAAGUGACUGUGUUUAUUUGCAGUGUUUAAAGUGAAGAAAGAACAAAAAAAGUUUGACAGCAAAAGAAGACCAUCAAACUUGAAUAGAUUAUAUCACUUUGUAUGAAAGAGCAUUAUUAUGCAGUGAACUGGAAUUUAUUAUGAAGCAAAAAAGGGACAUCAAAGUGCAGUGGACAGGAUUUUAUUAUGAAUCAAGAAAUGAAUAUUAAAGUGCAGAGGACUGGAUUGAAUUAUGACACAAGAAAGGAACAUCAAAGUACAGUAAAUGGAAUUUUAGUAUGAAGAAAGGAAGAGACAUCAAAGUGCAAUGGACUGGAGACUACUUGGGAGUAGAUGUUGCUUCAAAAGAUUGGCAGAGUUGCUUUUUGCUACAGGUGCAAAGCCCUGACAGAUUCCUUUACUAUUGAUUGAGACAUGCUAACGUUGCCUUCGAGGACAAUCCGGUGUCUAUAUGUCCGCUAGAUUGUGGCGUUUUUUGGAGCGACUGGUCUGCAACAUUGUACCGGCAAUGUUAAGAUGAUGGUUGUUCCUCUGUGUUUUGAGAGAUGGAAUCAGGGAUUGUGAGGAUUUGCAUUUCUUCCAUAUCAACAGACUGCCAAUGACAACUGACUUUAUGUCCCGUUCAUAUGUACAGUCAGCGAUCGAUUUGACUUUAUUAUGAAGCAGUAGAGGAAUAUCAAAGUGCAAUUAACUGGAUUUAACAUAAAGCAAGGAAGGAUUAUCAAAGUGUUAUGAAUUAAAUUGUUUCAGGACAGGAAGAAACAACAUCCAAUUCUAAUUGACUGGAUUUUCUCAGGAAGAAAAGAAAGAACAUGAGGAAGGAACAUAAAAGUGCAAUUAAUUCAAUUUUAUUAUGGAGAAAGGAAGAAACAUCAAAGUGCAAUCGACUUGGAUUUUAUUUAAGUGCAGUGGACAGACUGGAUUUUCUCAGAGUGAAGAGAGGAUAUCUUAAUGUUAAUGUGACCCAUAAAAGUGACUGUAUUCAUUUGUAGUGUUUAAAGUGAAAAAAUAACAUAAAAAUGUUAAUCAUUGGAAUUGAUACUUUUUGUGGGGGUGGGAAUCUCUGUUGUGUGUAUACCAUUUCUUCCCAUUCAUCCUAUCUUAUUUCAUCCUGACCAUGCCCAUCCCAUUCCUGAUUGGUUACCCAGAUAUGAUUGUACAAAUAAUAUAUAAUAUAGCAUAUAUUUGAAUUAAAAUACAAAUGUACAGCAUGGCCACGAAGUAAACAGAGAAAAGAUGUGUAUAAAUCAAUUUAAUAUGAAAUAUGUUAGUGUGAAAAUAUGUCUUAUUCAUGCAGUUGACACUUUCUAUAUUCACACUUUAUAUAAAAUAGUGUAAGUACACUUCUUUAUAAGUAGAUGUAUGUAUAUGAUAGAAAAAACAUGAAUUUCGGGACGUUCAUAAUAUUAUUUUGGAUACAGUCUAUUAUCUGAAGUGGAAUAAUUAUUAAAUCUGGAACCACGCUUGUACAGCUUUUUUGGAAGUUGCACUCUCGCUUUAUUUUGAAAAAUAUGGAAUAGAAUUGUUUAAAAGGUAGUAUUUUUCUGCUUGGUACAUUUAUGCAGAAUUACAUGAGUAAUUUAUAUUUCUUGUUGCCAUGCUUAUUUACAGUACUUAUACUAGUUCAUUUUUUCUUCAGUUUGAGCUACAAGUUGAAGCAGGAAAAUGGUGCCAAGUGUCCAGGCAAUCCAAAGAAGCAGUACUGGAUUUUCCCCAGAAAAGUAUGAAGAAUGUCUAUGAAAAAAGUGACUGUGUUCAUUUGUAGUAUUUAAAGUGAAGAAAGAACAUACAAAUUUUAAUCAUUAGAAUUGAUACUUUUUGUGGGGGUGGGAAUCUGUGUCCUUUGUAGUCCAGUUCUUUCCCAUCAGUCCUAACCCCAUUUCAUCUUGACCCGGCCCAUCCCAUUCCUGAUUUGUAAUCCAGAUAUGAAUGUACAAAUAAUAUUUAUCAUAUUAGAAUUAAAAUAUUAAUAUAGAGCAUGGCAAAAUAAGCAGAGAGAUAUAUAUAGAUGAAUUUAAUAUGAAAUAUGUUAGUAUGAAAAUAUGUCUUAUGCAUGCAAUUGUCACAUACAAUUAUAGUAACACUUUAUAAGAAUUGAUAAAAGUACACUUCUUUGUAAGUAAAUAUAUGUAUAUGAUAGAAAAGGUUGAAAACAUGAGUUUUUGGAGACAUUUAUAAUAUUGUUAUGGAUUUAGUCUAUUAUCUUACAUGGAAUAAUUAUUGAAUCUGGAACCACUCUUGUGUAGAGUAUGGGAACAAAAUAAACAUAGAAUGGAUUUGUAUAAAUGAAUUCAAUAUGAAAUAAUUGUUCAUGUGAAAAUAUGUCUGAUUAAAUGCAAUGAACAUUUGCUAUAGUUAAACUUGAUUGGAAGUUGUAAAAGUGCAUUUCUUUGUAAAAAUGAAUAUAUGAUAGAAAAGGUCAAUAGACUGCCAAUGACAACUGACUUUAUGUCCCAUUCAUAUGUAUAGUCAGUGAUUGAUUGGACUUUAUUAUGAAGCAGAAAAGGAAUAUAAAAGUGCAAUAGAAAGGAUUUAAUAUGAAGUAAGGAAAGAUCAUCUAAAUGUUAUAAAAAGUGACAUAAUUGGAAAAUUAAUGUUAAUUAUUAGAAUUGAUACAUUUGUGGGGAUGGGAAUCUCUGUUCUGUCUUUACCAUAUAUUCCAAUUCAUCCUAUCCAAUUCCAACUUGACCCUGCCCAUCCCAUUUCUGAUUGGUUACCCAGAUAUGAUUGUAUAAAUAAUACAUAAUAUAGCAUACUUGAAUUAAAAUAUUAAUGUGGAGCAUGGCCAAAAAAUAAGAAGAGAAAAGAUGUGUAUAAAUCAAUUUAAUAUGAAAUAUGUUAGUGUGAAAUCAUGUCUUAUUCAUCCAGUUGACACUUUCUAUAUUCACACGUUAUAUGAAGUGUUAAUAGUACACUUCUUUAUAAGUAGAUGUAUGUAUAUGAUAGAAAAGGUUGAAAACGUGAAUUUUUCGAGACAUUCUUAAUAUUAUUAUAAAUAGUUUAUUAUGUGAAGUGGAAUAGUUAUUAAAUCUGGAACCACACUUGUACAGUUUUCAGAAGUAACACUCUAACAGUAUUUUGAAAAGUCUGGAAAAAGAAUUGUUUGAAAGGUAAUAUGUUAUUCUACUUGGUACUUAUAUGCAGAAUUACAGGAGCAAUUUAUAUUUCUUGUUGCCAUGCUUAUUUACAGUACAUAUACCAGUCCAUUUUUUCUUCAGUUUGAGCUGCAAGUUUAUGCAGGAAAAUGGUGUCAAGUGUCAAGGCAAGCCAAAGAAGAAGUACUGGAUUUCCCCAGAAAAGUAUGAAGAAUGUCUGAAAACAGUGACUGUGUUCAUUUGUAGUAUUUAAAGUGAAGAAAGAACAUAAAAAAAUUAAUCAUUGGAAUUGAUACUUUUUGUGGGGGUGGGAAUCUGUGUCCUUUGUAGUCCAGUUCCUUCCCAUCAGUCCUAACCCUAUUUCAUCUUGACCUGGCCCAUCCCAUUCCUGAUUUGUAAUCCAGAUAUGAAUGUACAAAUAAUAUAUAUCAUAUUUGAAUUAAAAUAUUAAUAUAUAGUAUUGCCACAAAAUAAGCAGAGAGAUGUGUAUAGAUGAAUUUAAUAUGAAAUAUGUUAGUAUGAAAAUAUGUCUUAUGCAUGCAAUUGACACAUACAAUAGUAACACUUUAUAAGAAUUGAUAAAAGUACACUUCUUUGUAAGUAAAUAUAUGUAUAUGAUAGAAAAGGUCGAAAACAUGAGUUUUUGGAGACGUUUAUAAUAUUGUUAUGGAUUUAGUCUAUUAUCUUACAUGGAAUAAUUACUGAAUCUGGAACCACUCUUGUGUAGAGUAUGGGAACAAAAUAAGCAUAGAAUGGAUUUGUAUAAAUGAAUUCAAUAUGAAAUAAUUGUUCAUGUGAAAAUAUGUCUUAUUAAUGCAAUGAACAUUUGCUAUAGUUAAACUUGAUUAGAAGUGGUAAAAGUACAUUUCUUUGUAAAAAUGAAUAUAUGAUAGAAAAGGUCAAUAGACUGCCAAUGACAACUGAUUUUAUGUCCCAUUCAUAUGUAUAGUCAGCGAUUGAUUGGACUUUAUUAUGAAGGAGAAAAGGAAUAUAAAAGUGCAAUAGAAAGGAUUUUAUAUGAAGUAAGGAAAGAUCAUUUAAAAUGUUAUAAAAAGUGACAUAAUUAAAAAUGUUUAUUAUUAGAAUUGAUACUUUUGUGGGAGUGGGAAUCUCUGUUCUGUCUAUACCAUUUAUUCCGAUUCAUCCUAUCCAAUUCCAACUUGACCCUGCCCAUCCCAUUUCUGAUUGGUUACCCAGAUAUGAUUGUAUAAAUAAUACAUAAUAUAACAUACUUAAAUUAAAAUAUUAAUGUUGAGCAUGGCCAAAAAAUAAAGAAGAGAAAAGAUGUGUAUAAAUCAAUUUAAUAUGAAAUAUGUUAGUGUGAAAUCAUGUCUUAUUCAUCCAGUCGACACUUUCUAUAUUCACACAUUAUAUGAAGUGUUAAUAGUACACUUCUUUAUAAGUAGAUGUAUGUAAAUGAUAAGAAAGGUUGAAAACAUGAAUUUUUCGAGACAUUCUUAAUAUUAUUAUAAAUAGUUUAUUAUCUGAAGUGGAAUAGUUAUUAAAUCUGGAACCACACUUGUACAGUUUUCAGAAGUUACACUCCAACGAUAUUUUGAAAAGUCUGGAAAAAGAAUUGAAAGGUAAUAUGUUAUUCUACUUGGUACACAUAUGCAGAAUUACAGGAGUAAUUUAUAUUUCAUGUUGCCAUGCUUAUUUACAGUACAUAUACCAGUCCAUUUUUUCUUCAGUUUGAGCUGCAAGUUGAAGCAGGAAAAUGGUGUCGUGUCAAGGCAAGCCAAAGAAGAAGUACUGGAUUUUCCCCAGAAAAGUACGAAGAGUGUCUGUGAAAAAGGUGACUGUUCAUUUGUAGUAUUUAAAGUGAAGAAAGAACAUAAAAAAAUUAAUCAUUGGAAUUGAUACUUUUUGUGGGGGUGGGAAUCUGUGUUCUUUGUAGUCCAUUUCCUUCCCAUCAGUCCUAACCCCAUUUCAUCUUGACCUAACCCAUCCCAUUCCUGGUUUGAAAUCCAGAUAUGAAUGUACAGAUAAUAUAUAUCAUAUUUGAAUUAAAAUAUUAAUAUAGAGCAUAGCCACAAAAUAAGCAGAGAGAUGUGUAUAGAUGAAUUUGAUAUGAAAUAUGUUAGUAUAAAAAUGUGUCUUAUGCAUGCAAUUGACACAUACAAUAGUAACACUUUAUAAGAAUUGAUAAAAGUACACUUCUUUGUAAGUUAAUAUAUGUAUAUGAUAGAAAAGGUUGAAAACAUGAGUUUUUGGAGACGUUUAUAAUAUUGUUAUGGAUUCAGUGUAUUAUCUUAUAUGGAAUAAUUAUUGAAUCUGGAACCACUCUUGUGUAGAGUAUGGGAACAAAAUAAACAUAGAAUGGAUUUGUAUAAAUGAAUUCAAUGUGAAAUAAUUGUUCAUGUGAAAAUAUGUCUUAUUAAUGCAAUGAACAUUUGCUAUAGUUUAACUUGAUUAGAAGUGGUAAAAGUACAUUUCUUUGUAAAAAUGUAUAUAUGAUAGAAAAGGUCAAUAGACUGCCAAUGACAACUGACUUUAUGUCCCGUUCAUAUGUAUAGUCAGUGAUUGAUUGGACUUUAUUAUGAAGCAGAAAAGGAAUAUAAAAGUGCAAUAGAAAGGAUUUAAUAUGAAGUAAGGAAAGAUCAUCUAAAUGUUAUAAAAAGUGACAUAAUUAAAAAUGUUAUUGGAAUUGAUAUUUUUUGUGGAGGUGGGAAUCACUGUCCUGUCUAUUCCAGAUCCUUCCCAUUCAUCCUUUCUGAUUCCAUCCUGACCCUGCCCAUCCCAUUCCUGAUUGGUUGUCCUGAUAUGUUCAUACAAAUAAUAUAUAAUAUAACAUACAUGAAUGAAAAUAUUAAUGUAGAACAUAGUUGCAUUAAAAGCAGAGGAAAGGUGUAAAUAGAUAAAUUUGAUAUGAAAUAUGUUUGUGUGAAAAUAUGUCAUAUUCAUGUAGUUGACACUUUUUGACCCUUUCUAUAGUCACACUUUAUAAGAAGUGGUAGAAGUAAACUUCUGUAUAAUGUAUAUAUGAUGUUUGUAGUGUUUAAAAUGAAGAAAGAACAUGAAAUGUUAAUCAUUGAAAUUGAUACUUUGUGGGGGAUGGAAACAUUGUCCAGUCUAUUCCAGUUCCUUCCCAUUCAUGCCUAUCCUAAGCCAUCCUGACCCUGUCCAUCCCAUUUCUGAUGGGUAACUCAUGUAUGAUUGUACAAAUAAUAUAUAAUAUAGCAUAUUAGAAUUAAAAUAUUAAUGUUGAGCAUGGCCCAAAUAAAGGAAGAGAAAAUAUGUGUAUAAAUAGAAUAAUUUUAAAUAUGUUUUAUUCAUGCAAUUGACACUUACUAUGGUAACACUUUGUAAGAAGUGGUAAAAGUACACUUCUUUAUAAGUAGAUACAUAUUUGAUAGAAAAGGUUAAAAACAUUUGUUUUUCGAGCUGUUCAUAAUAUUAUUAUGGAAACAGUCUAUUACCUAAAGACAAAAAGACAAAUGAUUAUUAAAUCUGGAACCACAUUGCAUGAGCAAAUGAAGGUUUAUGUACAGUUGUUGAAAGUUACAUUCUUGCUGUAUUUUGAGAAGUAUGGAAAAAGAAUUGUUUGAUAGGUAAAAUUCUUUUCUUUGUUUCAGUCAUAUUUGCUGAAUUUGCUGACCAUUGUUGAAGGUGUGGAUUUUCCCUGGGAAAAAAUGAAGAAUGUUUUCAAAAAGAGACUGUAUUCAUUUGUAGUGUUUGAAGUGAUGAAAGAAUAACAAAUGGGUACUUACUGAAAAUUAUAUUUUUUGUGGAGUUGGGAAUCUCUGUCCUAUCUAUUCCUGUUCCUCCCCAUUCUGUCUUGUCCCAUUCUGACCUGGCCCAUCUAUUCCUGAUUGAUAAUCUAGAAGUGUUUGUAAAAAGAACUUGUUGCAUAUUUGAAUGGAAUUGUAUAUUGAAGUAGUGUUAUAGAAUAUGGCCGCAAAAUAAGCUGAAAAAAAUAUUAAUACCAAAUAUGUUAGUGUGAAAAUGUGUUUUAUUUAUGCAAUGGAUACUUAGUUUAGUUUAUAAUUGUAUAAAACUAAAGUGUGUUUCAGGAAAGUAUAAUUUGUAAGUUUAUACGAGUUUUGUUAAACAUAUGGAUACAGUUAUGCAGUAUUAUACAGGAUAUAAGAUAGAAUAAAUAUUAAACCUGGAAUGACAUUUGUAGCAGUAUGUAAGGGAAAACUAUUGGGUAUAUAAACAUUGAAUGUAACGUAAUAAUAAUGACUUUAACAACAUGACAAGUCUCUUACAUUAUACUGUUUCUAGAGACAGAAGACAAAAGAUGUUGAAUGUGACAGCUGGAAAUGUAAGUAGUAGGCUACAAGACUGAUUUCCAAACCAAAUGAUAGGCACUAGUAGGUAUUGUUGUUUAUAAUGGUACUUGUAGUUUUGUUUAUAAAAGGUUUAAUUGAUAUGUUUACCUGUUACUCACAGGUAAAUGUCAACUUCUCUUCUCAAAUUACAGGUGGAGGAUGAUUGAUUUAGACUUUAGCUUAAGAGGAUUUAACUAAUGUAUUCCAUGUAACUUUUACCAUGAUUUUAGAUGCCUAAGUUCCAAAACAUUAACACUCUUAUUAGCAGAAACACCCAUGGAUGAAGAAUCAGACUGCUUAAUCGAGGAAGGGCGGAUGAUGAAAAUUGUCACAUGCUACAAGAAAAAUGCCAGCUUGAAAGAUAGAAUCCCACAAACUACCAGCACCAACUCGGACAGAUGGUAUCUCAACAUAUAGUAGAUUCACUGUGAUACGUGGUAGAGCAGAUAUAGCUGGUCAAAUCAUACAAGAAUGUUGAGUUGAUGGACAAUGAAGAGCCGUUACAUGACAUGAAAGUACAGCUGACCACAGUGCAGGGUAACCACAAGGAAUCUAUGGAACAGCUUGGGGACAUGUCCCAGCAAGUGGCCAUGCUGAGGACUGAGGUCUCUCGAACACAGCAACAGAACCAGGCAAUGUCUGAAGAUUUGAGCAGUUAUGAACAGAAGAUACAUCAGCUGAAGUAAGAAUUAAAGAAGAUGCAAGACAUCUACCGAGUCUCCGAGAGUGGAGCUCCAAAAUUUCAAGAUGAAGUACAAUGACCUGCAAAAGGAAGCAGUUAUGUCCCAGGACAGGAACCGAGCCCGCCCGCUUAGCUCAGUAGGGAGAGUGUUGGUCUGCAGAUCGCGGGAUCGCGAGUUCGAUCCUCGGGCGGGACGUAUGUUCUCCAUGAUGAUUUGAUAAGACAUUGUGUCGGAAAACAUUUGUCCUCCACCUCUGAUAAUGCAUGUGGGGAAGUUGGCAGUUAUACUUGCAGAGAACAGGUUUGUACUGGUACAGAAUCCAGGAACACUGGUUAGGUUAACUGCCCGCUGUUACAUAACUGAAAUACUGUUGAAAAAUGGCGUUAAACCCAAAACAAACAAACAAACAGGACAGGAACCGCCAAGGUCUUCAGGAGCUCUCGGCAAAGGGGGAAGAAUUAGUUGUUGUUAAAGUGGAACUCAGUGCCUUACAAGAAAAAUACUAAACCAAGUUCUGAGAAGUUACUGUUAGAACUUGAGUUGAUGAGACAUAAUUACCACAGUGCAAAUAAGGAGAUAAAGGGAUUGAGAAUGGCCCUGGAAUAGUCAAGAACCAAUGGGGACAGACUGCACAAAGAAAGUGAACUGGUUGUGCAGAACAUAAACACCUGCAUACAGGAACAAAAACAUGCCAAUGAGAAAUUGGGGAACAAAAUCAGAGAACAAAGUAAAGCCAUCAUGCAGCUCACAGCUGAAAAAGAACAAAUGUUGAAACAGAUCAGCAAGUAUCAGAAACAGAACAACAAGAUGAAGAUUGAGCUGGACGAGAGACAUAAUGAGGCAGAGAGAUUUAAAGCUCUACAGAACCACAGCUCACACCAACAAGUUCUCCUCAACCAGCUCAGGUCCAGGCUAGAGGAACAUGAAGUGGAACAAGAUCAGGAAAUGUCGAGCAAGAUGGCUACUAUAGAGGAUCUUCAUAACGGACUCAAACUGAACAUUGACAAUAUACAGCAGUGUAAUAGUCAGUUAAAUUCUUUACAAAAAGAUAACCACAGAUAACGAAGUUAUUUGUAACGUGAGAUUGGUACCUGGCAGACCCUUGAACUACAGAUCGAGAGUAAAGAACAGACUAAAUAGCCUCAAAACUCAACUUGAGGCCCAGAAACAUCUUCUCAUUGACCACAGCUCUGCAUUGAAGGAUCCCGAUCAUGCUAAGAUGGUAAAGGAAUAUCGGCAGAGGUAGAGGUGACAAUGAUGGUGCAAAAAGUAAAAAUAUCACAAGUUAACAGUCAAUAAGGGAAAUGUGGAUGAAAAUAUUGACUCCAGCCAGUAACUCGACAUUUGCUUAGCUUUCAAGAUACGUCAAAGAAAGGCGGGUUUAUAGAGCUGUUGCAGAUUCACCCAGUCAUGCUUAAACCAGAAGUUGAAUAGGCCAUGAAAAGGAGGUUGAUGUUGAGAAAUUGCCAGAUGCAGUUCCUUGUGGCAACUUCAAACCUACCGUACUAUAGGAGGGGGCAACAAUUACCACUAUUAACCUAGAAACCAGUGACCUAAUUUGAAAGCGGAAUAUGCCACAAACAUCCCACACAAAGCUACAUAAUACACAAAUUGCUGUAACAUAGAUAUCUGUGUCAUGACUAAAAGGAAAUUUCACCAGCGGCACAAAGGAUCACUGGGAUUGCAUGGAAGAUUCAGACACUAUGACUGUAAAAAGCACAAUAGUCCAACACAUCGGUACCUGGUAUUCAGUCGAUAGUAGAGAAAUUGUGUAUUUGGCUUGAAAAGAUCCUAAAGUGAUUUUCCAAAAUGGAAGACAGUUUGAUUUUCCAACUCUUGUCUCAGCAUCACCAUGCACAAAAAUAACAAACACUUUUUUUCAGCUGUAUUUCUUCUUUAGCAUAUUCUCUUACCAGUGUUCUGGAAAUUGUUCCCUAAACCAGUCACACUAACAGUUAGAUCUUGCUAUGACACUACUUGGUAUCAGGUACAAUGCCUAUAGCUGACAGACAUAUUUAUUAUGAAAAAAUGGGAUGGCCUGCCAAAGGUUAAAUAUGUUAAGAGGAUAUUAGAAGAUUGAGGCAUUUUUCAAGCAAUGACUACAUUAUGAAGUAAAAUUGUAGCUUUUUGUUUAAAAUGUGAAAAUGCUAUCCUUUAAUACUCAUGACAAAGUUGGUACCAAAAUUUUCAUUAUCUUGAGUAGAAAAUAACAUUUGUGAUUGGAAAUUCAAAUUGUGUUAUGUAACUCUAUACAUGUAAUUCUUUAAUACAAUGUCAUUUUGUCUACAAUUCUUCAUCUUUGUACAGUGGUUACAAAUUUUAAAAAAAUAGAUUACAAGUGACUCAAAACAAAGUUGUCAGGUUUAUUUGUGGUUAUAAUUAUCAAAGAUACUGAAAAGUUGCAGUUUUUUAUACUGGCUGGCUAAAUAUUGAAAACAAGAGUUAAACAUUUAAUACUGAAUCAUGUUCACAAAAUCUUUGGGAAAAACAAGUUGUCCAGCUUAUCUGCAUAAUAAUUUCUAGCUUGUCUCUAAGAAAGUCUUAUAAUUGUAGACAUAGUAUUAACAGAUUUCAUGUACCUCAGUUUCACGUCUACUACUUUUUAUUAUCAAGCUAUCAAUUACUGGAAUAGCCUUCCUAAUAACAUAAAACUUAAAAAGAUAACAGUCAACAUGGAGCUCAUUUAAUGAAUGAAAAUUGCUAAGUAAUCAGAUUUUUAUUUUUUAUAAAUUGUAUCAUAUUGUUUUAUAAUAAGUGUGCAAUAUUCCUGCUUUGUGUUGAGAUAAGAAUGUCAUAAUAGAAUGUAACUGUGAUAUUAGUUAGGUAACUCUUGUACAGCUUAUCAUUUAUGCCAGUAACAGUUGUCGUUCCUGAUGAUGUACACAAGGACCUCUGUUAGAUUUUUAGCUCACGUAAGCACAAAGUGCUC